UAAACGACUCUCGGCAACGGAUAUCUCGGCUCACGCAUCGAUGAAGAACGUAGCAAAAUGCGAUACUUGGUGUGAAUUGCAGAAUCCCGUGAACCAUCGAGUUUUUGAACGCAAGUUGCGCCCGAAGCCACCCGGCUGAGGGCACGUCUGCCUGGGCGUCACGC
rnacentral:rRNA from 1 species